rnacentral:lncRNA from 1 species
AAAAACCUACAAUAUAAAAAGACAAAAAGAGGGGAAGGCUAAAAAACAAAAAAGCAAGAGAAGCCAGCGCAGCAUACACGGACCCCCCUCAUCGGAUUCAUCUUCUCCUUCACUUGGAGGAAUGAAAACCGGAACCAGCCGCAACAAUGCAAAGAGGAGACCCCUCUCUGAAAUUCAUCUUCUUGGUCAUCCCCCCAAGCACGCAUGAACUUUGAAAAUUGCAGACCCUUACUCCAUCUCCACUAGUUUUUUUCAAGAGUUUUGUUUCAAGUUUUAGAUUUCUUCUUCGGGUUUCUGAUUUCAGAACGAUGGAAUUAAUCGAAGUUUGGAGCCAUUUCCGAGUUCGGAUCGUUGGAGGUUGCCGUUGAAGGUUUAAGUCUGAAAAUCUGAUUCGAUUUUUGACGAUUCUGUUUGAAGCCGCGUCGAUGUCCGACUGUAAUUGUUGCUUCAUGUACUGCGUAUAAACUUCAGGUUCAUCUUUGCAACGUUGGUUUAUCUCUUCCAGAUUUAAUCGGUUCAUGUGGAUGUUCAAUGUAGUCUUUGUUUCAGCAAGUUUGAAUGUGUAUGUGAUUAAGAAGAUGUUAGUAUUAAUUAGUCGCUUCAUUUCUUUCUCUGAUUUGCCUCUUACCUUGUGGUGUCAUUGUUGGGUGGAUUAGAUGCAUGUGAAAUUAGAACAAAUGUCCGAUUUCUCUUUUCUUACGGUGUUACUAGAUAUUGCUAUCAUUUUUUCCUCCUGUUAGUUCGGAAUUAAAGUGUUUGGGUGUUUAAUUGUUGGGGUGUUAAAAGGCUGUAACGCAUAGCUACAGAUCUGGAUAAUCGUAUUUCUCAUUUUCUUAAACUUUGUUUUGCUUUACAAUGUGCUUCCAUUAAUUUGUCGUUCUCUGUUUGGUGAUGUGCUUGGGUUGAAGUUUUAUUGUUUUGAUUUGAGGAUGGUUGACUUCUCAUUUCCUUCCAUUCUUAUUUGCUGAACCUCGCACCCUUAUGAUAAUAUGAUAUCUUUGUACUUUUGGGUGGUAGCAUCCAUACUUUUGGAGGAAAGAUUACUAGAAGAUGUCAUCAUUAUAAAGCCUAUAUGUAAGUUUUUUUAACAAGGUAAUGUAUGCAGUCUUAUAGAAAACUAGAGAUAUUAAUUUGUACAAGAGUAAAUGGAGAACAAUGAUAGGGUAAGGAGAGUGCGUAUAGGAUGGGAUGAGUUUUAUGAGAGGCAAGUUAGCAAGUUAAAAUAGUUUGUAAAAUCUCAAAUGAGAUGAAGCGAGUUGCGGGUUAAAUGUUUUAGAAUAUUGACCAAUUGUUUGAAUUCGAGUGCUCUGUUUGUUGAUGGUAUGGGUUACUACAUCACUAUUUUGUUUUGAAUGUCUUGAUAAUAUUCACUUUAUUAGUAAUUCUUGUUUGCAUGUUGCUUAGCAAAUAAUUUGUUCGGAUGGGGUUUCGCCACUUCGUUAAGAGACAAUUGCUUAAGGCUUCCCAGCACCAGAUUUGUGGGAGUUAACUUGCAAAACGUGAAGAAGUUGGACUUGGAUUCUAGAUGAGGUAAAGUAGAAUUGAGGUUAAGUUCGCGUUCUUGUCUUAAUAUAAAUAAAAAAUACCAUCGUGAUUGUGUAUACGUUCGCGUAACAUAAUUACGAUUCUAAAACCAAUUCGGAGUAUGCGUUCGCGCAACUCCAAACAAGCUUUCUUAAUAAUAAAUUGAGUAUCAUGGCUUUAUAUAUCCGGGGGUGAAUUUCAUGUGACCCGGCUCUAAUUACAAUAAGGUUAAAUAGAAUGUGUCGUGAACCGCGGGUGCAUUUCAUGUGGCAUAGCUUGCGAUAUGUUUUAAAUAACCUUGAAUUAACUUUUUAAAUAUUUAAAAGAGGUAAAGGGUAGAUGCACAUGGAUUCUAAAACGAGUAAUUGAACAAUUUAAUAAGCCAAGUAUGAUCAAAGUGACCGUGCUAGAACCACGGAACUCGGGAGUGCCUAACACCUUCUCCCGGGUUAACAGAAUUCCUUACCCGAAUUUCUGUGCUCGCAGGCCGUAAAUAGAGUCAACUUUCCUCGAUUCGGGAUUUUAUACCAGUGACUUGGGACACCAUAAAUUAUCCCAAGUGGCAACUCUGAAUCUUUAAAUAAAGAAAUCCCGUUUCGAUUGUCUUUUAAUUGGAAAAACUCCCUUGUAUUUAUACCCUCUAUGGGGUGUAAGUAAAAAUGAGGUGUGAUAGUUCUGGCGACUCUGCUGGGGAUCAAACCCAGAAUCUCUGGUUCAGGGUUCAAGAAUUCGAGUUUGUUAAUGAUUUUCACUUGGCUUCAUUUAUUGCUAAUAUUACUGUAUUUUGUGAAUUUUUUGUACUAAAUGUCAUUUGUUUACUUCUCUAUUAUUGUUUGAAUUGUAUAUUACUGUCUUCUUACGCCACCCCUCUAAGUCUUCUGGAAAUAGUGCAUACGUUCGCGUAGCCUGCUUUUUCUAUAGAAAUUAUACCAAACAGAAUGAGGCUGGGAAAGCAGCAAGGCCGGGUAGACUUCAGUGCUCCCGGUACGUCGCCCCCUCCUCGGCCCCAAUUGUCCGCUCAGGUACCCCAAGUCUAGACCAAAACCCCAGGAUUUAAACCUAGAAUAAUACAGCCUCAUGCCGGAUCCCCGGUAGGAACGUUUGUUUGCAUCAUGUGCAUUUGACUUAAGGGACUCAACAUAGGGGUUGGGUUCGUCUAGGACAGGUGUACCCAAAAUAACAGACCAUUUUAUGCAUCCUAUGUGCUACAUGUUGCAUUUAUUCAAGGGUAAAGGCUCAUUUGGCGGACCAAUGAUAACUGAGAGUAAAUGAAGAAGUGAAAAAAAGAAAAAAAGGGGGAAAAACAAUGAAAAAAGAAAGAAGAAAGAAAAACAAAUUGAAGGGAAGUGUGAAAAUAAUGCAAGUAGGAUCUAGUUAUGUUUUUUUGUUACAUUUGUAAGGAAAAAGACAAAAAAAAACAUGAAAAAUUCAAAAAAAGAUUUUGUACUUUUUCAUCAUUUUUUAAAAAUAAAAAAAAAAAAGAGAAAAAUAAAAUCCAAAGAGAUUUUGCAUGUUUCGUCAUUUUUCAAGAAAAAUCAAGAAAAAAUGUGAUUUCUAUGAAUUAAUGGGUUUUUUUAUUAUUCUCACCCGUAUCCAAUUUGCUCGAACUACGCGAACCUGAUUCUCGUCUCUCGGGGCGGGAUACGUAGGCAACCCACAUAGGGUUCGGUCUUCCUAGUAAAUCUUAAGUUCUUGGCUUUGCGGGGUCUUAGCCAAAUUUUGUACUUCUAGCCACCUUUUGGCCAAAUAAGUCAUUUUGCAAAAAUAGUUCCAAUUAUGAGUAUUAUUAUUUCACAUAGUGUUGGUUAAAGUUUUCUCAUACAUGUGUGGAUUUAUUUACAGAAGUUUGAGCAUGACAGACACUAUCCGGUCAGGAUCGCUCAGUCAGGAGUUGCUUAAGGAGAUUUGUUUUAUUUUUAUAUUUUGAGUCUGUUCUUCAUUUUAUGUCGUCUUUUACUUUCUAGUUUUGUACAGUAAUGUCAAGUCUUUUGUUAUUGUAUUUUCUGCUUUAUAUUUGAAAAAAUGUGUUGUAACUCAAAAUCCAAAAAAAGAGAUGUUGCAUUUAUAUUUCCG